UUCCUUAUGGCCCAAUGGCAAGGCGUCCGCCUACGACAUCUGCAAAGGUAGAGUGAGCGGGAGAUUCCAGGUUCGACCCCUGGUGAGGAAG